rnacentral:rRNA from 1 species
AGAGCGAACGCUGGCGGCAGGCCUAACACAUGCAAGUCGAACGGACCCUUCGGGGUUAGUGGCGGACGGGUGAGUAACACGUGGGAACGUGCCUUUAGGUUCGGAAUAACUCAGGGAAACUUGAGCUAAUACCGGAUACGCCCUUACGGGGAAAGAUUUAUUGCCGAAGGAACGGCCCGCGUCCGAUUAGCUAGUUGGUGAGGUAAUGGCUCACCAAGGCGACGAUCGGUAGCUGGUCUGAGAGGAUGACCAGCAUCACUGGGACUGAGACACGGCCCAGACUCUUACGGGAGGCAGCAGUGGGGAAUAUUGGACAAUGGGCGCAAGCCUGAUCCAGCCAUGCCGCGUGGAUGAUGAAGGCCUUAGGGUUGUAAAGUCCUUUUAACGGGGAAGAUAAUGACGGUACCCGUAGAAUAAGCCCGGCUAACUUCGUGCCAGCAGCCGC